UACGAAGGGGGGCUAGCGUUGCUCGGAAUCACUGGGCGUAAAGGGCGCGUAGGCGGCUGAUCAAGUCGGGGGUGAAAGCCCGUGGCGUCAACCACGGAAUGGCCUUCGAUACUGGUUGGCUUGAGACCGGAAGAGGACAGCGGAACUGCGAGUGAGAGGUGAAAAUUCGUAGAUAUUCGCAAGAACACCAGUGGCGAAGGCGGCUCACUGGCCCGGUACUAGACGCUGGAGGUGCGAAAG
rnacentral:rRNA from 1 species